UUGAGUAUUGAAUUUGAAUCAAGCGAACCCAUUUGUUCCGUGCCUCUGCUGCCGCACGUCAAUCAGGAUUCCCCUGGUUGUACCUGCAAGCUGGUGCAAGUAUUCUAUUACUUGUAUCAAUGGCGCUCUGGCAUGCUAUCACACCAGUGCCAACCACAGUUAAAUCAAAACUCUGAAGCUUUGAUUGCUAGUAACUGGCAAUCUUAACCAAAAACAACUCUCAACAACGGAUAUCUUGGCUCUCGCAACGAUGAAGAACGCAGCGAAAUGCGAUACGUAGUGUGAAUUGCAGAAUUCCGUGAACCAUCGAAUCUUUGAACGCAUAUUGCGCUCGAGCCCUCGGGCAAGAGCAUGUCUGCCUCAGCGUCGGUUUAUACCCUCACCCCUCCUCCCUCAGGAGAGCUGGCCAACAUUCAGUUGGCCUCAGGGGUGGAUCUGGCUUUCCCAAUUUGUUCACUCCGAUUGGGUUGGCUGAAGCUUAGAGGCUAAGCAAGGACCCGAUAUGGGCUUCAACUGGAUAGGUAGCACCGGCGUCUGCCGACUACACGAAGUUGUGGCUUGUGGACUUUGCUAGAGGCCAAGCAGGAAACAUGCUGUGCAUGUCUUAAACUUUCGACCUGAGCUCAGGCAAGGCUACCCGCUGAACUUAAGCAUAUCAA
rnacentral:sRNA from 1 species